UACAGAGGGCGCGAGCGUUGUCCGGAAUCACUGGGCGUAAAGGGCUCGUAGGCGGCCAACUAAGUCAGACGUGAAAUCCCCAGGCUUAACCUGGGAACUGCGUCUGAUACUGGAUGGCUUGAAUUCGGGAGAGGGAUGCAGAAUUCCAGGUGUAGCGGUGAAAUGCGUAGAUAUCUGGAGGAAUACCGGUGGCGAAGGCGGCAUCCUGGACCGACAUUGACGCUGAGGAGCGAAAGCUAGGGGAGCAAACGGG
rnacentral:rRNA from 1 species